rnacentral:rRNA from 1 species
GGCCGCGGGAAUUCGAUUGGCCUAACACAUGCAAGUCGAGCGAUUUACUUCGGUAAAGAGCGGCGGACGGGUGAGUAACGCGUGGGUAACCUGCCCUGUACACACGGAUAACAUACCGAAAGGUAUGCUAAUACGAGAUAAUAUGCUUUUAUCGCAUGGUAGAAGUAUCAAAGCUUUUGCGGUACAGGAUGGACCCGCGUCUGAUUAGCUAGUUGGUGAGGUAACGGCUCACCAAGGCGACGAUCAGUAGCCGACCUGAGAGGGUGAUCGGCCACAUUGGAACUGAGACACGGUCCAAACUCCUACGGGAGGCAGCAGUGGGGAAUAUUGCACAAUGGGCGAAAGCCUGAUGCAGCAACGCCGCGUGAGCAAUGGAGGCCUUCGGGUCGUAAAGCUCUGUCCUCAAGGAAGAUAAUGACGGUACUGAGAGAAGCC